GAUGAACGCUGGCGGCGUGCCUAAUACAUGCAAGUCGAGCGAACGGACGAGAAGCCUGCUUCUCUGAUGUUAGCGGCGGACGGGUGAGUAACACGUGGAUAACCUACCUAUAAGACUGGGAUAACUUCGGGAAACCGGAGCUAAUACCGGAUAAUAUUUUGAACCGCAUGGUUCAAAAGUGAAAGACGGUCUUGCUGUCACUUAUAGAUGGAUCCGCGCUGCAUUAGCUAGUUGGUAAGGUAACGGCUUACCAAGGCAACGAUGCAUAGCCGACCUGAGAGGGUGAUCGGCCACACUGGAACUGAGACACGGUCCAGACUCCUACGGGAGGCAGCAGUAGGGAAUCUUCCGCAAUGGGCGAAAGCCUGACGGAGCAACGCCGCGUGAGUGAUGAAGGUCCUCGGAUCGUAAAACUCUGUUAUUAGGGAAGAACAUAUGUGUAAGUAACUGUGCACAUCUUGACGGUACCUAAUCAGAAAGCCACGGCUAACUACGUG
rnacentral:rRNA from 1 species